GCUGAGGUCACUGGCUGAUGGGUGGGAGGUUGCUGAUGAGGAAGUGGGGAGGGGCGUAAAGGCACCCCAGGAAGCGCCCAGUGUCCCUUUUGCUGGAUAUUUUCUUUCCUGGACUCUUGGCCUGGCUGUUGCUUGAAUGGGAGAAAACUAACCUGAUGGCAGGACUUACUGAGCUAAUUAAGCACGUAAACCACCCAUGGCAGAGCCUGGCACCCAGUAGGCCUUCAAUUCAUGUACCUCAGGAUCCUGCCUCAAAGUCUGGAGUUGGAGAGCUGUUCAGUCUACACUCUCAUCUCCGUCUCCCCAAGCCCGCAGACACGGUCAUCUUCCAGGACUCGAGGGGGUCCACAGAGGCCUGACCCACCACCAGGAACUGGGGAGAGGAAACAAUACCAGCUGUAAAGAGAAGUUCAUUCCUUCCCCCUGGCCACACCAGCAUUACCCCAUCACACAGAUGAGGAAUCUGAGACUCACUGGCUCAUUUAAUCCACAGACGCACCCUGAGCACCUACUGUGUGCAGGCUGUGCUGGGCCCUCUCCCACAGGGCUCACAGCUUAGCGGCACAUGGGAUUUUAGUUCCCCAACCAGGGAUCAAACCCGCGCCCCCUGCAUUGGAAGUGCGGAGUCUUAACCACUGGACUGCCAGGGAAGUCCCAGCAUCCUCUUUAGAACAUCAGCUCCUCGAGGACAGAGAUCUCUGCCUGUUCCAUUCACCAUUGUGUCUCCCAGUGCCUAGUACAGAGCCUGGCACAUAGUAGGUGCUCAAUAACUAUCUGUGGAAAGAAGGCAGGAAGGAAGGAAAGAAGAAAGGGAGGGAGGGGUUGCAAUUCAUUUAUCCAGUUUUGCAUUUGUUUGUUCAGCGAGUACUUAUUGAGGGCCAGCUGUAUGCUGGUUCUGGGGAGAGAGUGGUGACAGCACAGACAGGUGUCCUGCCCUCAAGGCGCUCGCUGACUUUCUGGUCGCUGUCAGCAAUUGUGAUAUCAGCUGGUGAAGACUAUGAGGAAAGGUGGAGCCAGGAGAGGGGCUGCUGGGAGGAGGGGUUGGCUGGCAGAGGCAGGGGUAGGCUUGGGGCUCCCCCCACCCCGCCCCUGCUGGCAGAUGCUGGGGCUGUCGUAACUGCGGGCAGCUCGGGUUGCCAAACGCCACCACAGCUGCGUCACCGAGAGCCUGGAGGGCCCAGAGGCUGAGGGGGGCUGGGAGGGGCCCCCUCACCCAGGCUGGUUUCAGCCCCGAGUCAGACAGAGCUGGGUCAAAGGUCAGCCCCGUGUCCACUGUUAGUCACUCUACGUAAUGUGGCUGUGUGGCUGCGUGCUGUUGCGGAUUGCUUGCGAAAAAAGUCCAGAAAUAAUGCAUGAGGAGCCACAUUCCCACCUCCAAGAGAGAAAUGAAACGUGCAGAGACCGGGGGAGACCCCACCCUCCCUCCAAAGGUGACUUCAUCCUGAAUUUGACAUCUGUGACCCUGUGUGUGACUGCACAAUGUUACCUUCCUGGGCCUACCUCUGUGUGUCCCUGGGCAAGUCACUUAACCUCUCUGGGCCUUGGUUUCCUCACGUGUAAGAUGGGAAAGCUAACAGUCCCUCCCUCGGAGGACUGGUGAGAAUAAACAAGCCAUCUGCGUAAAGUGCUCAGAUGAGGGCCUGGCACACAGGAAGCACCACGUAAGUGCUGGCUAUGAUCAUUAUUGUCACUGAACACCCAGAAGAGGGGACAGAGAGCCGUCACUUGUGUCAAGGUCACUUCGGGUGGUGCCAGGGUUCACAUCAGCGGCUGGCUCUGGAGUGGUGUCGCUCAGGUGCCCAGGCACUAAUUCUGGUUCAUUCUGUUCCACUUCCUGUUGGGUUUGCCUUUCCCACCAGCUUUGAUAAACCAGAGCCUGUGCCUGGCUUGUUCUCUGCUGUCACCCUGCAGAGGGUGACAGCCCAGGGUCUGGAGACUGAAGGAUGGGUUUGUGGAGCAAAUGAACGGGGCUGUCUCCUCAUCUGUAUGAUGGGUCUUGCAGCCCCAAGGAAUGAGAAAGUGCCGAGUAGUGUAGGUGCUUUAUAAACCCUUCUUUAUUUCCUCCUCUCCCAGCUGUACUCCCCUCCCCCUCCCCUCAGGGCUAGACCUGGACCCCACUCACUUCAGGACAGGCAUUCUGCUGACAGAUUGCUCCCCACUGACUCAUUCAUUCAUUCAUACCUUCACACUUUCAACAAAUAUUUUGAGCACCUACUGUGCUCCAGUCUCUGCUCUAGGCUCUGGGGAUACCGAAACGAAUAAAGCAUGUAAAAAUCUCUGUCUUCCUGGAGCUGAUAUUCUGUCAGGAGAGAGAGCCAUCAGACAACAGUGUGAUUCAAGCGAAGAUUCACAGGGGCCUGGGCAGCAGGGAUCAGGGGAGGCCCUGCC